ACAUGAAGCUGGAGUUACUAGUAAUCGCAGAUCAGAAUGCUGCGGUGAAUGCGUUCCCGGGUCUUGUACACACCGCCCGUCACACCACGGAAGUUGGGGCGCCCGAAGCCACUUAGCUAACCCUUUUGGGAAGCGAGUGUCGAAGGUGAAAUCAAUAACUGGGGUGAAGUCGUAACAAGGUACC
rnacentral:rRNA from 1 species